CGUAGGGGGCAAGCGUUGUCCGGAUUUAUUGGGCGUAAAGAGCGUGUAGGCGGCCGUGCAGGUCCGUUGUGAAAACUCGAGGCUCAACCUCGGGACGUCGAUGGAAACCGCACGGCUAGAGUCCGGAAGAGGAGAGCGGAAUUCCUGGUGUAGCGGUGAAAUGCGCAGAUAUCAGGAAGAACACCCGUGGCGAAGGCGGCUCUCUGGGACGGUACUGACGCUGAGACGCGAAAGCGUGGGGAGCGAACAGGAUUAGAUACCCUGGUAGUCCACGCCGUAAACGAUGGGUGCUAGGUGUGGGAGGUGUCGACUCCUUCCGUGCCGCAGCUAACGCAUUAAGCACCCCGCCUGGGGAGUACGGCCGCAAGGCUA
rnacentral:rRNA from 1 species